UCUUCCUCUCUCUCUUUCCUCGACCUUGCGUCUCCCCAUGCCGCCCAUUGUCACCCCUUCUUUGACACUAGUAGAGAGGCAGAGCUCGGUCGGCAGUCCAAGCAGAUGGAAUUAUUUGAAAAGUGCUACAAGACAAAGGACGAUGGCGGCUAGAGUGGGCCGAGGGCGGCUAAGGUGGCGGAGACGUUCCAAAACCUCCUUCGACAGACCCCCCGACCUCGAACCAAGACGAUAUGAACAUCGCUAACAAGGAGGG